rnacentral:rRNA from 1 species
AAAUUGAAGAGUUUGAUCAUGGCUCAGAUUGAACGCUGGCGGCAGGCCUAACACAUGCAAGUCGAACGGUAACAGGAAGCAGCUUGCUGCUUCGCUGACGAGUGGCGGACGGGUGAGUAAUGUCUGGGAAACUGCCUGAUGGAGGGGGAUAACUACUGGAAACGGUAGCUAAUACCGCAUAAUGUCGCAGGACCAAAGAGGGGGACCUUCGGGCCUCUUGCCAUCAGAUGUGCCCAGAUGGGAUUAGCUUGUUGGUGAGGUAACGGCUCACCAAGGCGACGAUCCCUAGCUGGUCUGAGAGGAUGACCAGCCACACUGGAACUGAGACACGGUCCAGACUCCUACGGGAGGCAGCAGUGGGGAAUAUUGCACAAUGGGCGCAAGCCUGAUGCAGCCAUGCCGCGUGUAUGAAGAAGGCCUUCGGGUUGUAAAGUACUUUCAGCGGGGAGGAAGGUGUUGUGGUUAAUAACCACAGC